UUGGAAGACAAUCAGCAUGUCCCACUUCGCAAAACUACUAGGCCUACUACUUAUCGCAUCCAACAUGCGCGGUAUGCCGGUGGGCGAAAUUUACAGCUGAUUUUCACGCCACACCUUCAAAAAAACCCGCGCCAUUGCGCGGGUUUUUUU
rfam:Lonsdalea quercina strain ATCC 29281 genome assembly, contig: Ga0052894_scaffold00004.4